GAUGAAGAACGUAGCGAAAUGCGAUAAGUAAUGUGAAUUGCAGAAUUCAGUGAAUCAUCGAAUCUUUGAACGCACAUUGCGCCCGCCAGUAUUCUGGCGGGCAUGCCUGUUCGAGCGUCAUUUCAACCAUCAAGCCCCCCCGGGGGCCUCGGUGUUGGGGGACGGCACACCAGCCGCCCCCGAAAUGCAGUGGCGACCCCGCCGCAGCCUCCCCUGCGUAGUAGCACACACCUCGCACCGGAGCGCGGAGGCGGUCACGCCGUAAAACGCCCAACUUUCUUAGAGUUGACCUCGGAUCAGGUAGGAAUACCCGCUGAACUUAAGCAUAUCAAUAAGCGGAGGA
rnacentral:misc_RNA from 1 species